rnacentral:rRNA from 1 species
UACGUAGGGGGCAAGCGUUGUCCGGAUUUAUUGGGCGUAAAGCGCGUGUAGGCGGCCAUGUAGGUCCGUUGUGAAAACCCGAGGCUCAACCUCGGGACGGCGACGGAAACCAUAUGGCUAGAGUCCGGAAGAGGAGAGUGGAAUUCCCGGUGUAGCGGUGAAAUGCGUAGAUAUCGGGAAGAACACCCGUGGCGAAGGCGGCUCUCUGGGACGGUACUGACGCUGAGGCGCGAAAGCGUGGGGAGCGAACAGG